rnacentral:rRNA from 1 species
UACGUAGGGUGCAAGCGUUAUCCGGAUUCACUGGGUUUAAAGGGUGCGUAGGAGGGCAGGUAAGUCAGUGGUGAAAUCCCCGAGCUUAACUUGGGAACUGCCGUUGAUACUAUCUGUCUUGAAUAUCGUGGAGGUGAGCGGAAUAUGUCAUGUAGCGGUGAAAUGCUUAGAUAUGACAUAGAACACCAAUUGCGAAGGCAGCUCGCUACACGAAUAUUGACUCUGAGGCACGAAAGCGUGGGGAUCAAACAGG